AUCAAUGUAGCAAAUAAAAUGCAAUGAAUUUAAGCUUCAUUUAUAGUCUAAACUCUUUGAUA
rnacentral:tRNA from 1 species